rnacentral:rRNA from 1 species
UACGUAGGGUGCAAGCGUUAAUCGGAAUUACUGGGCGUAAAGCGUGCGCAGGCGGUUUUGUAAGUCAGAUGUGAAAUCCCCGGGCUUAACCUGGGAACUGCGUUUGAAACUACAAGGCUAGAGUGUGGCAGAGGGGGGUGGAAUUCCACGUGUAGCAGUGAAAUGCGUAGAUAUCUGGAGGAACACCGGUGGCGAAGGCGGCAUCCUGGACCGGUAUUGACGCUGAGGAGCGAAAGCCAGGGGAGCAAACGGG